UAAAAGCUCGUAGUCGAACUUCGGCCUUUGCUGGUCGGUCCGCCUUUUGGUGUGUACUGAUCUAGCGAAGGCUUACCUCUUGGUGAACUGCGAUGCCCUUUAUUGGGUGUUGUAGGGAACCAAGACUUUUACUUUGAAAAAAUUAGAGUGUUCAAAGCAGGCCUACGCCCGAAUACAUUAGCAUGGAAUAAUAGAAUAGGACGCGCACUCCUAUUUUGUUGGUUUCUAGGAGCGCCGUAAUGAUUAAUAGGGAUAGUUGGGGGCAUUUGUAUUACAGCGUCAGAGGCGAAAUUCUUGGAUUGCUGUAAGACAAACUACUGCGAAAGCAUUUGCCAAGGAUGUUUUCAUUGAUCAAGAACGAAGGUUAGGGGAUCAAAAACGAUCAGAUACCGUUGUAGUCUUAACAGUAAACUAUGCCGACUGGGGAUCGGACAAGGCUUUAUCAUGACUUGUUCGG
rnacentral:rRNA from 1 species